rnacentral:rRNA from 1 species
AGCCACACUGGAACUGAGACACGGUCCAGACUCCUACGGGAGGCAGCAGUGGGGAAUAUUGCACAAUGGGCGCAAGCCUGAUGCAGCCAUGCCGCGUGUGUGAAGAAGGCCUUCGGGUUGUAAAGCACUUUCAGUCGUGAGGAAGGUGGUGUAGUUAAUAGCUGCAUUACUUGACGUUAGCGACAGAAGAAGCACCGGCUAACUCCGUGCCAGCAGCCGCGGUAAUACGGAGGGUGCGAGCGUUAAUCGGAAUUACUGGGCGUAAAGCGCAUGCAGGUGGUUUGUUAAGUCAGAUGUGAAAGCCCGGGGCUCAACCUCGGAAUAGCAUUUGAAACUGGCAGACUAGAGUACUGUAGAGGGGGGUAGAAUUUCAGGUGUAGCGGUGAAAUGCGUAGAGAUCUGAAGGAAUACCGGUGGCGAAGGCGGCCCCCUGGACAGAUACUGACACUCAGAUGCGAAAGCGUGGGGAGCAAACAGGAUUAGAUACCCGGUAGUCCACGCCGUAAACGAUGUCUACUGAGGUGGGGCCUUGAGCCGUGGCUUUCGGAGCUAACGCGUUAAGUAGACCGCCUGGGGAGUACGGUCGC